CCCAUAUGUGGACACCUUAUUCUGGAAUAGGGACUUCCUGUAAAGCUGAUCCCUCUCUGGAGCAGGGCCAGCUGCUCUUCUGGAGCUAGAGUGCCUGCCUGUGGGGUUCAGCAGGAGCCUACAGGUGGUCUGAUGAACAGAAGUGCCUCAUUUGAAGUUCUUAGAAAGCCAUUGCCACUGAGUUAAUGCUUAGGAAAAUUGGAGCUCCGUGUGAGCUGCUAUCCUCGCAGCACGGCUCCUCACCCAGCGCAGCCGGCAGCCGUUGGAGCUCUGCUCAUCUUACGGCUUAAGGGGAAGAAAAUGUUGGGACAGUGGGGAAGAAGGAAACUUCAUCAGAGCUGCAUGGAGAAUUGUCAUCUCGACAGCCACUGCUCAACCAGUUGCAAACUGUAGAGGGUUGAGUCCUGUUUUGCCAUCUGAAGGCACUGCAGCCUGCACAGGCUCUCAGGACAUCUGUGCAUGGUGCCAAACUGGCUUCCCAUGGACAGGAUGGAGAUCCCUUAGCAGGGUGUGCCUCCUGCCACCAAAACCCCCUGUGCCCUUCCCAGCAGCUGGUGAUGUUCAUGGGUCAUAACCAACAUUGCUUUGACGUC
ensembl:lncRNA